CCUACGGGUGGCUGCAGUGGGGAAUAUUGGACAAUGGGGGCAACCCUGAUCCAGCCAUGCCGCGUGUGUGAAGAAGGCCCUCGGGUUGUAAAGCACUUUCAGUGAGGAAGAACGCCUGGUGGUUAAUACCCAUCAGGAAAGACAUCACUCACAGAAGAAGCACCGGCUAACUCCGUGCCAGCAGCCGCGGUAAUACGGAGGGUGCGAGCGUUAAUCGGAAUUACUGGGCGUAAAGAGCGCGUAGGUGGCUUGAUAAGCCGGUUGUGAAAGCCCCGGGCUCAACCUGGGAACGGCAUCCGGAACUGUCAAGCUAGAGUGCAGGAGAGGAAGGUAGAAUUCCCGGUGUAGCGGUGAAAUGCGUAGAGAUCGGGAGGAAUACCAGUGGCGAAGGCGGCCUUCUGGACUGACACUGACACUGAGGUGCGAAAGCGUGGGUAGCAAACAGGAUUAGAUACCCCAGUAGUC
rnacentral:rRNA from 1 species